rnacentral:rRNA from 1 species
GACGAACGCUGGCGGCGUGCUUAACACAUGCAAGUCGAACGGAAAGGCCCUGCUUUUGUGGGGUGCUCGAGUGGCGAACGGGUGAGUAACACGUGAGUAACCUGCCCUUGACUUUGGGAUAACUUCAGGAAACUGGGGCUAAUACCGGAUAGGAGCUCCUGCUGCAUGGUGGGGGUUGGAAAGUUUCGGCGGUUGGGGAUGGACUCGCGGCUUAUCAGCUUGUUGGUGGGGUAGUGGCUUACCAAGGCUUUGACGGGUAGCCGGCCUGAGAGGGUGACCGGCCACAUUGGGACUGGGGAGCGGCCCAGACGCCUACGGGAGGCAGCAGUGGGGAAUAUUGCACAAUGGGCGGAAGCCUGAUGCAGCAACGCCGCGUGCGGGAUGACGGCCUUCGGGUUGUAAACCGCUUUCGCCUGUGACGAAGCGUGAGUGACGGUAAUGGGUAAAGAAGCACCGGCUAACUACGUG